rnacentral:rRNA from 1 species
AACGAACGCUGGCGGCAUGCCUAACACAUGCAAGUCGAACGAAGCCUUCGGGCUUAGUGGCGCACGGGUGCGUAACGCGUGGGAAUCUGCCCUUGGGUUCGGAAUAACAGUUAGAAAUGACUGCUAAUACCGAAUGAUGUCUUCGGACCAAAGAUUUAUCGCCCAAGGAUGAGCCCGCGUCGGAUUAGCUAGUUGGUGAGGUAAAGGCUCACCAAGGCGACGAUCCGUAGCUGGUCUGAGAGGAUGAUCAGCCACACUGGGACUGAGACACGGCCCAGACUCCUACGGGAGGCAGCAGUGGGGAAUAUUGGACAAUGGGCGAAAGCCUGAUCCAGCAAUGCCGCGUAAGUGAUGAAGGCCUUAGGGUUGUAAAGCUCUUUUACCCGGGAUGAUAAUGACAGUACCGGGAGAAUAAGCCCCGGCUAACUCCGUGCCAGCAGCCGCGGU